UCCUCGACAAGCAGCGAUGGGACUCCUCGUCUUCCUCCUGGCGAGUUCGUCCGCCCCUUCGCCUGCUCCAAUUCUUUCCCUCGAAGCGACCCCUUUUACUUUACUUUCUCAGGUUUCCUCUCUUAAUUCCUCCCAUUAGAUCAGCGUUUUACUUUCUUCAAUUCCCCAUUGUGGAACCCUCGUCGUUGGUGAUAGAUGGGGUUCACCUUCUAGGACAAAGUCCAAUCCGUCCCAGUCCCCUGCCCCUUCUGAUUCUGAGCCUUCUCCCCUUUUCUCCCACCCAGGCUGCAAGCAGGUAACGGCCGCUUCUCCUUGCUCUCGCAUCAUCUCGCGUCUCAAUGUUUGGGCCAUCACGCUCUCCAAAUAGCUGGGCUAACUUGGUUUGUACGAAUUAGUCGCCGCGAUGGAGAGUUUCCUCGUAUUCGACAUGUUGAUCUAUCAAUCUAUCAUCUUAUACGUCCUACAGAAAUGUUUUGGUUGUUGUCGAUUACUGAUGUGUCUGUUGCAAUUGGCAGCUCGUUUGAAGAGGAAGCCUCUUUGUGGCAGCUUGUAGGUCGUUUGAGAGAGUAAAUUAUGUAAUUUGCGUGUUUGUGUUGUAUCUGUGGACCGGCUUAGGCCUUCUUCGGUAUAAAAAAUAGGCACACCUUUGUGUGUGUUUUCCUAAAAAAAAAAUGGCAGCUCGUCUCUCCGGCGCAAGUGGGGAAUGAGAUUACUCUAGACAACACUAAGCAUGGUGGUCGUUGCUAGACACCACCCACCAAAUUUGCUCCUUGAUUAUUUACUCAUUUACUGCUAAUUAGUUUACUUCGAUUUUGUCAGAUGUAAGCAACUUGGAUCCCCCACCGAUGGAGAGUUUGGAUUCUCUAUACACAUGGAUUUCUCACAGGGGCCUUCAGGAAACCAUUGGUUCAAAGUCAUGAAAGAAGGUAGUCUUAGUAUUCUUGCUUCUUUUUUGUUUGUUGAAUCGAAAUUUACAAAUAGGGUGAAACUUCAAGCUCUUGCAAAAUGCAUCGAAACAUUGAGAAAUUCUGCAUAUAUUAGAAUAUAAUGAAAGAAAAGACUCAUGCCAUGAUUUUCAAAUCUUUUCAAUUUAGUAGUCAAAGUUUCUCGAUGAGGACAAUUAAUUCGGUUGUUGUAGAAGGACUCUAUUAUGGAUUUUAUUUACCACAAUAUAACCAAGAACAAGGGAUAAUUAAUACGCUAUUUGAGAAUUUGAUUGAAAUACCCUUUAUGUGUGUUUUUACAUAGAAAUACUACUUUUGCUUACUUUGGUGAUCCAUGAUAUAUAAAGAUAAGCUUUUGUGUCGAAAUGUUCUUACUAUUAUUCUAUUAUCUUAUUUAGACUGAAAAGUUGGGAAGAGGUUGUUAAUAAGAGAUUUCGCAGGGAAAUAGGCAAAAGAAAUUGCCAUCCAAUAUUUAAUAACUGAUCGAUUCUAAUCCUGGGUAAAGUCCAUCUUAUUGUCAAUUCAUCCGACAAGAUAAGCUCCAGCGCCUAAAAUUGUUCAGCAAAAGAGUAAUUAAGGGGUGCGGCAUAAUUGUACAGUGUCCAAUACCUGCUUGUAGUAAUUUUAUGUGCAAUUUGGGCAUCAUUGUUGUCUUCUUCAGUAGCAAUCUGAAGCUGCUGCCCAUUGCUUGACCUGGCUGCUGCAGUCUUCAUAAUUGGCUGCAAAAUUUGCCAGUUAUUGGAUUUAGUCAUUCUGAAGUCUUGCAUAUUAGUAGUAUUCAAAAUUUGCUAGUUAUUGGAUUUUGGCAGUUACACGUGUGUUGUGCCUUGUUCCCGCUGAUGACAUAUUUUUUUGACGUUAAACUGUAAGAGCUGCGCGAUCACAGUCUGACAGUAUAUAGAUAUAUAAUUUUAACAAAGUGAGAUACCAAAGUGCGAACUUCGAGGAUCUAACUCCGGUGGUCUGCCAGCAUACCUCGCUGGCUAACCACCCAAGCUAUGCUUGGUUCUCCGCUGAUGACAUAUUGUUAUUGGCUUGUAAUGACUGGUCUUGGGUUGUUGUUUCAGUUAUUUUAGUCGUCACCUAAAGCAAAUUGCAUGGCACGGAUGUCAUCAGGUAUGUUUCUUUCUUGUUUCAGUAUCAUUUUGGUUGAAAGGGGUCGGUGUCAUAAGCUGUGGUUGAAGGGAUGAGGUAUGUUUGUUUCAUGUGGUAGUCACUUCUCACGCCAUAGCUGUUUUCAAGGCUGACAUCUGUUUUCAAAGUGCACUAGAUGUCUGCUCAAAGUAAUAGGUUCAGGUUUCAUUUGUUAGUGUCAGCUGUGUAAGGUUUCAGAUAUAUGUUGGAGCUUCCUUGGGGCUCAUUUUGAAUAGCAAAAGUGUACUAAUAAGUUCGAAGGUCCUUGAUACUGCUGUAUGCUAUGGUUUGCAUCCUAUAUGGUACUGCAGUUUUAAUCUGAUAGUUCAUUAGAUCACUCUAUUUGUUGUGUGUGUGUACAGACUGCCCCUUUCUGUGUGCAGAUUGAGGGUGUGGGGUGGUUUGGAAGGCAAAGGCUGGUGGACCAUCCAUGGAUCGGCCAUGGCGUGGCUGCACAGAUCGUGUAAUUGGCAAGAUUUCCGUGGUCCAUAAAGAGAAGGGAAAUCGAGGACGAAGCUGCAGAAGAUGUGCAUAGGGAAGGUAAAGUAACUAGCAUACAAGAACAUCCAGAAAACUAACCUGAGAUAUCACUUGCUACAAAGGUAUUUCUUUUUUGUCAGGCUGCUGUUUUCAGAUCUUUUUGUGGUUUAUCUUCUGUAUCAAAAACUAAUUUGAAACACGAUUGCUUCAAAAAAUUGUUUACAGUUUGUUCCUUAUGCUGUUGGUUGAUAUACUUCAGGUGGUGGAGUGGUGCUCUAGCUGAAAAGUAUUGAAAUUCUAGGUUUUAUGACGAUAUUGCAAUGUUUACAAACCAAAUAAUUUUUCAGACAUGGAGCCGGAAUAAUAUGCGUGCUGCCUUUAGUUAUAGGUACACCCAUUGCUCUGAGAAUAGCAAAUUGGUCGGUGGCUUACUGGCUUAAAUUUCCAACCUCUCGCAUUUAUUAAUUAAUUAGUAUUAUUACCAUGCACAGUUGUUAAGAAAAAAAUCUAUAAGCAAGGAAGGUGCGCAGCUUGCUUUUAGAUGUUCUGUGCCUCAUUUUCCCGUAAAAGAUCAACGUCUUCAAGCAAAUGCUUAGUGAUUACGAAUAUUAAAUAUUAGUGCAUUUGUUUCUCGGAAUGAACACAUUAUGAUUGAUUAUCUUGUUAUCUUGAUGGUUUAUUACUGUUAUAUAGUUAUGAAACAUGUAGGAUCUUGCUGUCAUAACUUCGCACAAAUGAGACAACAGCUUAUGAUGUUUACUCGUAUAUUUUGAUAGCGUGGUGCAUGUUAAAAUAAUUUUCAGGAACAUGAUAAAGAUCACAAGGCGCACUUUGUUUGCACAUGUGCUAUCAAAAUAAUACCUUAAUAUAGAAACUGUUCACUGCAGGCCAACAUACCAAAAGAGAUAUCCGUGUACCUGAAUAAGAUGAGGCCAACAUCGAUCUUUGAUUAUUGUGAGUGCAUCUCAAGCAUAUUCUUCAUUAUAAUUUAUUAAUUUAAUUAAUUGAAAAGUUAUAGUUGUUAAAUUGCAACUUAUGUUGAUCUCACAGUACUUUGUCUAACUUUGACAUUUUAGAUGUGUUGGUGCUGAAUCAGAUAUAGGUACAUGGAUCUAAAAUUAUAAUGAACUUCAAAUGUAAAUGAAAUUAAACUUCCUGCAGUGCUAGUAUGGAUUUCAGCUUGAUCCUAGAUGCACACCAUCGGCAAUUCGCAAGUGUUCUAGUUACUCGUGGGGCAAUUAGGUGAUCCAAAAUAAUGGUAUUCCCUCCGAUCCAUAUUAAUUGUCUCAAAAUUUGUCUAAAUAUGGAUGUAUCUAUGCAUAAAAUGCAUCUAGAUACAUGUAAUAUUUCGACAAUUAAUGUGGAUCGGAUGGAGUACCUUUUCUAGUCCUUAGAUACCUUCCUUAGACCAGAGGAGCUGAUCCAUGUCUUGUAACUAAAUCAUAGCCUUUUAUAAAAUUAGACCCAUAACAUAAUCAAUGGUGGAGAUAAUUUAGCCUAUAUGAACUGACAUGUUUUAUAAUUAUAUAAUAGUUAUGGAUUUAGGAACCCACACGACAGAAUGUCCCCAUUGCAUUGUGUUUGACAGUUAAGGUGCUCAACGGGGUGUAACACAGAUUUAAGCAAUGUCCUUACAGACCUUCGCAAGGCCAAAUUAAAGCAAGGACGUUCUUUAAAUCUAUGUUACACCCUGUUGAGCACGUUAACGGUCAAACAUUAUGCAAUGUGGUCAUUCUGUCACGUGGGUUCCUAGAUCCAUGACUAUGUUAUAUAAUUAUAAAGCCACUUCUGUUCAUAUAGGCUAAAUUAUCUCCAUCAUUGAUUAUGUUGUGGAUCUAAUUUUAUAAAAGGCUAUGAUUUAGUUGGGAAAAAAAAUCUGUUGAGUACAAGUAUGGUACAUCUUUUGGCCCAUAUGCAUCAAUUGGAUCUAGGAAGUGCUCGUGAACAGAGGAAACCCGAAAUAGUCAGUUUCUUGUCAUCUUUGACAAAAUAGGGAACCUUUGACCAUUCAGCCUUCACCAAUUAAGCACCAUGAAAUCUGGAUCAAUGAGGGGAUGAAGUUUAUCCUCAAGAUAAGAGGUCAAUUCAAACUUAUUAGGCUUCAUUAGAAAGGAUCGGGACCCACUAGACAACAUGGACAUAUAUGUAAUUGAGUGUGAAAGGGCAUUUCGAUCCCUAAUGAGUUUUGGUGUUAAUAACAACAUAACUUGUGGACUAA